AAUGUAGUUCGGCGUCCGUCCGCGGGCGUCUGUUCCCCGGUGACUCGCGCUGUCCUCCACGGUUUUCUCAUUUCCUGAGGUUCCGCCCAGGGCAGGAGGGGGCCGAGGUCGCGGCUGCAGCGGGAGUUCGAGACCACCCUGGGCGAGUUGGGAAAAUACCUCGGAAAAUGAAAGUUCAACGAGGGCGGAGGGCCUGCAGCGGAAACAGAGAGGAAAUGCAGCCCUCGUCCGUGAACCCCCAGACGAUGCGGAAAUCGCCCUCGCGGCUGCACAGUUGCAGAGACCUCGCCUCCACGUUGUUUCCGCAUGAAGGGAAGAGACGAUGUCAGGAGACGCCGAGCAGUUGUCACGGGAACCGCGCGCUCUCGGCCGCGGUACCGGGGAAGGGCCAGAAGAGGGCGCCGGACCCCGUUAUAGAUGGCUGUGAGCCACCG